rnacentral:rRNA from 1 species
AAAUUGAAGAGUUUGAUCAUGGCUCAGAUUGAACGCUGGCGGCAGGCCUAACACAUGCAAGUCGAACGGUAACAGGAAACAGCUUGCUGUUUCGCUGACGAGUGGCGGACGGGUGAGUAAUGUCUGGGAAACUGCCUGAUGGAGGGGGAUAACUACUGGAAACGGUAGCUAAUACCGCAUAACGUCGCAAGACCAAAGAGGGGGGACCUUCGGGCCUCUUGCCAUCGGAUGUGCCCAGAUGGGAUUAGCUAGUAGGUGGGGUAACGGCUCACCUAGGCGACGAUCCCUAGCUGGUCUGAGAGGAUGACCAGCCACACUGGAACUGAGACACGGUCCAGACUCCUACGGGAGGCAGCAGUGGGGAAUAUUGCACAAUGGGCGCAAGCCUGAUGCAGCCAUGCCGCGUGUAUGAAGAAGGCCUUCGGGUUGUAAAGUACUUUCAGCGGGGAGGAAGGGAGUAAAGUUAAUACCUUUGCUCAUUGACGUUACCCGCAGAAGAAGCACCGGCUAACUCCGUGCCAGCAGCCGCGGUAAUACGGAGGGUGCAAGCGUUAAUCGGAAUUACUGGGCGUAAAGCGCACGCAGGCGGUUUGUUAAGUCAGAUGUGAAAUCCCCGGGCUCAACCCGGGAACUGCAUCUGAUACUGGCAAGCUUGAGUCUCGUAGAGGGGGGUAGAAUUCCAGUGUAGCGGUGAAAUGCGUAGAGAUCUGGAGGAAUACCGGUGGCGAAGGCGGCCCCUGGACGAAGACUGACGCUCAGGUGCGAAAGCGUGGGGAGCAAACAGGAUUAGAUACCCCGGUAGUCCACGCCGUAAACGAUGUCGACUUGGAGGUUGUGCCCUUGAGGCGUGGCUUCCGGAGCUAACGCGUUAAGUCGACCGCCUGGGAGUACGGCCGCAAGGUUAAAACUCAAAUGAAUUGACGGGGGCCCGCACAAGCGGUGGAGCAUGUGGUUUAAUUCGAUGCAACGCGAAGAACCUUACCUGGUCUUGACAUCCACGGAAGUUUUCAGAGAUGAGAAUGUGCCUUCGGGAACCGUGAGACAGGUGCUGCAUGGCUGUCGUCAGCUCGUGUUGUGAAAUGUUGGGUUAAGUCCCGCAACGAGCGCAACCCUUAUCCUUUGUUGCCAGCGGUCCGGCCGGGAACUCAAAGGAGACUGCCAGUGAUAAACUGGAGGAAGGUGGGGAUGACGUCAAGUCAUCAUGGCCCUUACGACCAGGGCUACACACGUGCUACAAUGGCGCAUACAAAGAGAAGCGACCUCGCGAGAGCAAGCGGACCUCAUAAAGUGCGUCGUAGUCCGGAUUGGAGUCUGCAACUCGACUCCAUGAAGUCGGAAUCGCUAGUAAUCGUGGAUCAGAAUGCCACGGUGAAUACGUUCCCGGGCCUUGUACACACCGCCCGUCACACCAUGGGAGUGGGUUGCAAAAGAAGUAGGUAGCUUAACCUUCGGGAGGGCGCUUACCACUUUGUGAUUCAUGACUGGGGUGAAGUCGUAACAAGGUAACCGUAGGGGAACCUGCGGUUGGAUCACCUCCUUA